rnacentral:rRNA from 1 species
AUUGAACGCUGGCGGCAGGCCUAACACAUGCAAGUCGAACGAGUGGCGGACGGGUGAGUAAUGUCUGGGGAACUGCCUGAUGGAGGGGGAUAACUACUGGAAACGGUGGCUAAUACCGCAUACCAUCGGAUGUGCCCAUAUGGGAUUAGCUUGUUGGUGGGGUAACGGCUCACCAGGGCGACGAUCCCUAGCUGGUCUGAGAGGAUGACCAGCCACACGGGGACUGAGACACGGCCCAGACUCCUACGGGAGGCAGCAGUGGGGAAGAUUGCACAAUGGGCGCAAGCCUGAUGCAGCCAUGCCGCGUGUAUGAAGAAGGCUUUAGGGUUGUAAAGUACUUUCAGCGGGGAGGCGUUACCCGCAGAAGAAGCACCGGCUAACUCCGUGCCAGCAGCCGCGGUAAUAC